GGGGAAUAUUGCGCAAUGGGGGAAACCCUGACGCAGCAAUACCGCGUGAGUGAAGAAGGUUUUCGGAUUGUAAACUUCUUUAGUCAGGGACGAAUAAAUGACGGUACCUGAAGAAUAAGCCACGGCUAACUACGUGCCAGCAGCCGCGGUAAUACGUAGGGGACAAGCGUUGUCCGGAUUUACUGGGCGUAAAGGGCACGCAGGCGGUUUUUUAAGUCAGAUGUGAAAGGUACCGGCUCAACCGGUGACAUGCAUUUGAAACUGAAAGACUUGAGUAUUGGAGAGGCAAGUGGAAUUCCUAGUGUAGCGGUGAAAUGCGUAGAUAUUAGGAGGAACACCGGUGGCGAAGGCGGCUUGCUGGACAAAUACUGACGCUGAGGUGCGAAAGCGUGGGGAGCAAACA
rnacentral:rRNA from 1 species